GACGAACGCUGGCGGCGUGCCUAAUACAUGCAAGUUGAGCGCUGAAGGUUGGUACUUGUACCGACUGGAUGAGCAGCGAACGGGUGAGUAACGCGUGGGGAAUCUGCCUUUGAGCGGGGGACAACAUUUGGAAACGAAUGCUAAUACCGCAUAAAAACUUUAAACACAAGUUUUAAGUUUGAAAGAUGCAAUUGCAUCACUCAAAGAUGAUCCCGCGUUGUAUUAGCUAGUUGGUGAGGUAAAGGCUCACCAAGGCGAUGAUACAUAGCCGACCUGAGAGGGUGAUCGGCAACAUUGGGACUGAGACACGGCCCAAACUCCUACGGGAGGCAGCAGUAGGGAAUCUUCGGCAAUGGACGAAAGUCUGACCGAGCAACGCCGCGUGAGUGAAGAAGGUUUUCGGAUCGUAAAACUCUGUUGGUAGAGAAGAACGUUGGUGAGAGUGGAAAGCUCAUCAAGUGACGGUAACUACCCAGAAAGGGACGGCUAACUACAUG
rnacentral:rRNA from 1 species